UGGGGAAUCUUGCCCAAUGGGCGAAAGCCUGAGGCAGCAACGCCGCGUGUGGGAUGACGGCCUUCGGGUUGUAAACCACUUUCAGUAGGGACGAAAAUGACGGUACCUACAGAAGAAGCUCCGGCCAACUACGUGCCAGCAGCCGCGGUAAUACGUAGGGAGCGAGCGUUGUCCGGAUUUAUUGGGCGUAAAGAGCGCGUAGGCGGCUUGGUAAGCCGGAUGUGAAACCCCCGAGCUCAACUCGGGGCGGCCAUUCGGAACUGCUAUGGCUAGAGUCUGGUAGGGGAACACGGAAUACCUGGUGUAGCGGUGAAAUGCUUAGAUAUCAGGUGGAACACCAGUGGCGAAGGCGGUGUUCUGGGCCAGUACUGACGCUGAGGCGCGAAAGCGUGGGGAGCGAACAGG
rnacentral:rRNA from 1 species